rnacentral:rRNA from 1 species
AUGUCGUCGUUCGCCGGCAUAACUCUCUUGGCCGAGGGCGACCUGAGCCCUUCCAUCGCCUACGCCGUUGACACUAGCACGGACUACGGCUACCACCUGCUUGUGGUCCAAGACUACUUGCUUACCAAAGAACUGACACCCAGCGGAAGGGGCCUUUGCUCCCGUGCUUUCGUCGUAGGAGGCCAUACAUGGUACAUCGAGUACUACCCUAACGGGGAGAGCUCAAAAUGUGCCGACUACAUUUCUCUGCAUGUCUCAGUUCUUGAUAAUGAUGAGGAUUACCAGAACACUGUGAAAGCAAAGGUGUGUGUCAGUUUCAUCGACCAGGUUGAAAAGCACAAGCCAGUGUACAUCCGUGGAACUGGAACGCGCACCUUCGGCGGCUAUGCUUUUAUGCGGCUCGACAAGUUUAUGAAAAAAGACGUCCUUGAAGAAUCGGUGAAUCUAAAGGGUAAUUGUUUGACCAUCCGGUGUGACAUCAUGGUCCUCAACACCAAUGAUGAUGAUGCCAACCGCGACAAGGUGCUCCCACCUGACGUACACCACCAAUUCAACAAUCUCCUUCAAAAUAAGGUGGGUGCCGAUGUGACAUUUGAGGUCAGCGGUGAGAUGUUCGUCGCACACAGGUGUGUGCUUGCAGCCCGAUCCACGGUGUUCAUGGCACAACUCUUUGGUCCCAUGAAGGAGGGUACCACUAGGUCCGCCAUCAUACAGAUCAAAGACAUGGAAGCAAAAGUGUUCAAGGCUUUGCUUAGCUUCAUCUACACAGACUCAUUCCCUGAGAUGGAGGAGGAGGACGAAGCACAAGUUGCGGAAAAAGGACAAGAAGAGGAUGGAAUGCGGCUGCAAUGGCUUCAAGACUUGUUGGUAGCGGCAGACAGAUAUGAUGUCCAAGGGCUCAAGUUCAUCUGUGAAAAGCAGUUUUCUGAACACCUAGGUGUGAGCUCAGUCAUGUCCACUCUUGCUCUAGCCGAGCAGCACCACUGCCGGUGGUUGAAGGGGGCGUGCUUCAAGUUUCUCCAAGUCCAGCCUCCCUCGCGUUUGCUAACAAUAAUGGAGUCUAGUGGCUGGGAUAAUGUCUUUACGACCUAUCCCUCGGCUUUGAAGGAUCUCAUUGCCAAGCUUAUUGCUUUGAACCAGCAGAAGUAA